GAUGAACGCUGGCGGCGUGCUUAACACAUGCAAGUCGAACGGUGAAGGCGGAGCUUGCUCUGCUGGAUCAGUGGCGAACGGGUGAGUAACACGUGAGCAAUCUGCCCCUGACUCUGGGAUAAGCGCUGGAAACGGCGUCUAAUACUGGAUACGAGCUGCGAAGGCAUCUUCAGCAGCUGGAAAGAACUUCGGUCAGGGAUGAGCUCGCGGCCUAUCAGCUUGUUGGUGAGGUAACGGCUCACCAAGGCGUCGACGGGUAGCCGGCCUGAGAGGUUGACCGGCCACACUGGGACUGAGACACGGCCCAGACUCCUACGGGAGGCAGCAGUGGGGAAUAUUGCACAAUGGGCGAAAGCCUGAUGCAGCAACGCCGCGUGAGGGACGACGGCCUUCGGGUGGUAAACCUCUUUUAGCAGGGAAGAAGCGAAAGUGACGGUACCUGCAGAAAAAGCGCCGGCUAACUACGU
rnacentral:rRNA from 1 species